rnacentral:rRNA from 1 species
GGACUACACGGGUAUCUAAUCCUGUUUGCUACCCACGCUCUCGCGCCUCAGCGUCAGUUUCAGUCCAGGUGGUCGCCUUCGCCACUGAUGUUCCUUCCGAUCUCUACGCAUUUCACCGCUACACCGGAAAUUCCACCACCCUCUACUGUACUCCAGAAACACAGUCUAAGAUGCUAUUCCUAGGUUAAGCCCAGGGCUUUCACAUCUCACUUGCAUUCCCGCCUACGCGCCCUUUACGCCCAGUCACUCCGAUUAACGCUCGCACCCUCUGUAUUACCGCGGCUGCUGGCAC